rnacentral:piRNA from 1 species
CAGGUCGGUAGUAACCAUUGAACCG